UAGGGAAUCUUCGGCAAUGGACGGAAGUCUGACCGAGCAACGCCGCGUGAGUGAAGAAGGUUUUCGGAUCGUAAAGCUCUGUUGUAAGAGAAGAACGAGUGUGAGAGUGGAAAGUUCACACUGUGACGGUAACUUACCAGAAAGGGACGGCUAACUACGUGCCAGCAGCCGCGGUAAUACGUAGGCCCCGAGCGUUAUCCGGAUUUAUUGGGCGUAAAGCGAGCGCAGGCGGUUAGAUAAGUCUGAAGUUAAAGGCUGUGGCUUAACCAUAGUACGCUUUGGAAACUGUUUAACUUGAGUGCAGAAGGGGAGAGUGGAAUUCCAUGUGUAGCGGUGAAAUGCGUAGAUAUAUGGAGGAACACCGGUGGCGAAAGCGGCUCUCUGGUCUGUAACUGACGCUGAGGCUCGAAAGCGUGGGGAGCAAACAGGAUUAGAUACCCUGGUAGUCCACGCCGUAAACGAUGAGUGCUAGGUGUUAGGCCCUUUCCGGGGCUUAGUGCCGCAGCUAACGCAUUAAGCACUCCGCCUGGGGAGUACGACCGCAAGGUUG
rnacentral:rRNA from 1 species